UACGGAGGGGGCUAGCGUUGUUCGGAAUUACUGGGCGUAAAGCGCACGUAGGCGGCUUUGUAAGUUAGAGGUGAAAGCCCGGGGCUCAACUCCGGAAUUGCCUUUAAGACUGCAUCGCUAGAAUUGUGGAGAGGUAAGUGGAAUUCCGAGUGUAGAGGUGAAAUGCGUAGAUAUACGGAGGAACACCAGCGGCGAAGGCGGGUAGCUGGGCCAACACUGACGCUGAUGUGCGAAAGCUAGGGUAGCAAACGGG
rnacentral:rRNA from 1 species